GCGCCCGUAGCUCAGUCGAAUAGAGCGUUGGCCUCCGGAGCCAAAGGUCACAGGUUUGAGUCCUGUCGGGCGCGCCA
rnacentral:tRNA from 1 species